rnacentral:piRNA from 1 species
UACUGCACACGGUCCCUGCUUCCUGUCAC